AGACUGCAACUAAUAGUGAAAUAGUGCAAUUAUUGUGAUAUUUUUCUUUGAAUUUAAUCUUUUAAUUUUUUGUUGUUGAAAUCCUGUAUAAAGUUUAUUUGUUUUUUUUUAUAAUAUAAGUGAGUGAUUUUGUCCUUUUAACUAUAAAAAAACCCAUUGAUUAAUUAAAUCAAAUCAAACUGAUCACUCAGUAAUACAAUUAAAAAAAUAUGCUUUUUAUUUUCAUUUUGAAAUGUAGCUUUUUUAUAUAUAUCAUUAUGGAACAUUAACAGCUGUUUAUUAUUAUUGGCUAGCUUUAUAUUUAAGGCAGGUUAGAGUAAUAUGAUUUAUAUACCACGUACCAGUUUUCAUUUCUGCAGACAUUGUGUGUUGUUGGUUAAUGAAAUCAACCUACUGCAAUAUUAUUCAAAAUCAAUUUUUGAAAUAAAUUAUUCAAUUU
rnacentral:misc_RNA from 1 species